rnacentral:rRNA from 1 species
UACGGAGGGUGCAAGCGUUAUCCGGAUUUACUGGGUUUAAAGGGUGUGUAGGCGGACUAUUAAGUCAGCGGUGAAAUCUCCGGGCUCAACCCGGAAACUGCCAUUGAUACUAUUAGUCUUGAAUGUUGUUGAGGUGGGCGGAACGGGUCAUGUAGCGGUGAAAUGCAUAGAUAUGACCCGGAACACCGAUUGCGAAGGCAGCCCACUAAGCAAUGAUUGACGCUGAGGCACGAAAGCGUGGGUAGCAAACAGG